rnacentral:rRNA from 1 species
AGUGAACGCUGGCGGUAGGCCUAACACAUGCGAGUCGAACGGCAGCACAGUAAGAGCUUGCUCUUACGGGUGGCGAGUGGCGGACGGGUGAGGAAUACAUCGGAAUCUACUUUUUCGUGGGGGAUAACGUAGGGAAACUUACGCUAAUACCGCAUACGACCUACGGGUGAAAGCAGGGGAUCUUCGGACCUUGCGCGAUUGAAUGAGCCGAUGUCGGAUUAGCUAGUUGGCGGGGUAAAGGCCCACCAAGGCGACGAUCCGUAGCUGGUCUGAGAGGAUGAUCAGCCACCCUGGAACUGAGACACGGUCCAGACUCCUACGGGAGGCAGCAGUGGGGAAUAUUGGACAAUGGGCGCAAGCCUGAUCCAGCCAUACCGCGUGGGUGAAGAAGGCCUUCGGGUUGUAAAGCCCUUUUGUUGGGAAAGAAAAGCAGCAGGUUAAUACCCCGCUGUUCUGACGGUACCCAAAGAAUAAGCACCGGCUAACUUCGUG